rnacentral:rRNA from 1 species
UACGAAGGGGCUAGCGUUGUUCGGAAUUACUGGGCGUAAAGGGCGCGUAGGCGGUGUGUCAAGUCAGGCGUGAAAGCCCCGGGCUCAACCUGGGAACAGCGCUUGAGACUGGCACGCUCGAGUUCGGGAGAGGAUGGUGGAAUUCCCAGUGUAGAGGUGAAAUUCGUAGAUAUCGUGGAGGAACACCGGUGGCGAAGGCGGCAUCCUGGACCAAUAUUGACGCUGAGGAGCGAAAGCCAGGGGAGCAAACGGG